UUUUCGAGUAUUCCAAAAACCAGGUUUCUUGAAGAAACCUGGUUUUUUGUUCGAUUUGAUACCCGAAAAA
rnacentral:tRNA from 1 species